AUACGGGGGGGCAAGCGUUAAUCGGAAUUACUGGGCGUAAAGCGCGCGUAGGCGGUUUGCUCAGUCGGAUGUGGAAGCCCUGGGCUCAACCUUGGAACUGCAUACGAUACUGGCAAACUAGAGUGUGAGAGAGGAUAGUGGAAUUUCCGGUGUAGCGGUGAAAUGCGUAGAUAUCGGAAGGAACAUCAGUGGCGAAGGCGACUGUCUGGCUCAACACUGACGCUGAGGUGCGAAAGCGUGGGUAGCAAACAGGAUUAGAAACCCUAGUAGUCC
rnacentral:rRNA from 1 species